AACGUAGGGUGCGAGCGUUAAUCGGAAUUACUGGGCGUAAAGCGUGCGCAGGCGGUUCGUUAUGUCCGUUGUGAAAGCCCCGGGCUCAACCUGGGAAUGGCAAUGGAAACUGGCGGGCUAGAGUGUGGCAGAGGGGGGUGGAAUUCCGCGUGUAGCAGUGAAAUGCGUAGAGAUGCGGAGGAACACCGAUGGCGAAGGCAGCCCCCUGGGCUAGCACUGACGCUCAGGCACGAAAGCGUGGGGAGCAAACAGG
rnacentral:rRNA from 1 species